rnacentral:rRNA from 1 species
GCGGCGUGCCUAAUACAUGCAAGUCGAGCGGACGAUUCAAAAGCUUGCUUUUGAAUCGUUAGCGGCGGACGGGUGAGUAACACGUGGGCAACCUGCCCUGUAGACGGGGAUAACACCGAGAAAUCGGUGCUAAUACCGGAUAACACGGAAGACCGCAUGGUUUUUCGUUGAAAGGCGGCGCAAGCUGUCGCUACAGGAUGGGCCCGCGGCGCAUUAGCUAGUUGGUGAGGUAACGGCUCACCAAGGCGACGAUGCGUAGCCGGACUGAGAGGUUGAACGGCCACAUUGGGACUGAGACACGGCCCAGACUCCUACGGGAGGCAGCAGUGGGGAAUAUUGCACAAUGGGGGAAACCCUGAUGCAGCGACGCCGCGUGGAGGAAGAAGGUCUUCGGAUUGUAAACUCCUGUCCCAGGGGACGAUAAUGACGGUACCCUGGGAGGAAGCACCGGCUAACUACGUGCCAGCAGCCGCGGUAAAACGUAGGGUGCAAGCGUUGUCCGGAAUUACUGGGUGUAAAGGGAGCGCAGGCGGAUUGGCAAGUUGGGAGUGAAAUCUAUGGGCUCAACCCAUAAAUUGCUUUCAAAACUGUCAGUCUUGAGUGGUGUAGAGGUAGGCGGAAUUCCCGGUGUAGCGGUGGAAUGCGUAGAUAUCGGGAGGAACACCAGUGGCGAAGGCGGCCUACUGGGCACUAACUGACGCUGAGGCUCGAAAGCAUGGGUAGCAAACAGGAUUAGAUACCCUGGUAGUCCAUGCCGUAAACGAUGAUUACUAGGUGUGGGAGGAUUGACCCCUUCCGUGCCGCAGUUAACACAAUAAGUAAUCCACCUGGGGAGUACGACCGCAAGGUUGAAACUCAAAGGAAUUGACGGGGGCCCGCACAAGCAGUGGAGUAUGUGGUUUAAUUCGAAGCAACGCGAAGAACCUUACCAGGUCUUGACAUCGGAUGCAUACCUAAGAGAUUAGGGAAGUCCUUCGGGACAUCCAGACAGGUGGUGCAUGGUUGUCGUCAGCUCGUGUCGUGAGAUGUUGGGUUAAGUCCCGCAACGAGCGCAACCCUUAUCGUUAGUUACUACGCAAGAGGACUCUAGCGAGACUGCCGUUGACAAAACGGAGGAAGGUGGGGAUGACGUCAAAUCAUCAUGCCCUUUAUGACCUGGGCUACACACGUACUACAAUGGCUAUUAACAGAGAGAAGCGAUACCGCGAGGUGGAGCAAACCUCACAAAAAUAGUCUCAGUUCGGAUCGCAGGCUGCAACCCGCCUGCGUGAAGCCGGAAUUGCUAGUAAUCGCGGAUCAGCAUGCCGCGGUGAAUACGUUCCCGGGCCUUGUACACACCGCCCGUCACACCAUGAGAGCCGGGGGGACCCGAAGUCGGUAGUCUAACCGCAAGGAGGACGCCGCCGAAGGUAAAACUGGUGAUUGGGGUGAAGUCGU